rnacentral:rRNA from 1 species
GUCUAUGGCCAUACCACCCUGAACACGCCCGAUCUGGUCUGAUCUCGGAAGCUAAGCAGGGUCGGGCCUGGUUAGUACUUGGAUGGGAGAAAACACCUGAGAGAUGUGGGAGCGUGAGCU